UACGGAGGGUGCAAGCGUUGUCCGGAUUUAUUGGGUUUAAAGGGUGCGUAGGCGGCUAUUUAAGUCAGUGGUGAAAUCCUUCAGCUUAACUGGAGAACUGCCAUUGAUACUGAAUAGCUUGAGUAUAGUUGAGGUAGGCGGAAUUGACAGUGUAGCGGUGAAAUGCUUAGAUAUUGUCAAGAACACCGAUUGCGAAGGCAGCUUACUAAACUAUAACUGACGCUGAGGCACGAAAGCGUGGGUAUCAAACAGG
rnacentral:rRNA from 1 species